rnacentral:rRNA from 1 species
AACGAACGCUGGCGGCGUGCCUAACACAUGCAAGUCGAACGAGAAUUUUCCUUUCGGGGGAAUAGUAGAGUGGCGCAAGGGUGAGUAACACGUGAAUAAUCUGCCUACGAAUUCGGGAUAACGCGGGGAAACCUGUGCUAAUACCGGAUAAGACCACGUCUCUUAUGUGAUGUGGCCAAAGGAGUCUCAAACUCCGUUUGUAGAUGAGUUCGCGGACCAUUAGCUUGUUGGAGGGAUAACAGCCCCCAAGGCGACGAUGGUUAGCCGGCCUGAGAGGGUGAUCGGCCACACUGGAACUGAGACACGGUCCAGACUCCUACGGGAGCAGCAGUGGGGAAUAUGCGCAAUGGGCAAAGCCUGACGCAGCAACGCCGCGUGAGGGAUG